rnacentral:rRNA from 1 species
AUUGAACGCUGGCGGCAGGCUUAACACAUGCAAGUCGAGCGGGGUGAUGGUGCUUGCACUAUCACUUAGCGGCGGACGGGUGAGUGAUGCUUAGGAAUCUGCCUAUUAGUGGGGGACAACAUCUCGAAAGGGAUGCUAAUACCGCAUACGUCCUACGGGAGAAAGCAGGGGAUCACUUGUGACCUUGCGCUUAUAGAUGAGCCUAAGUCGGAUUAGCUAGUUGGUGGGGUAAAGGCCUACCAAGGCGACGAUCUGUAGCGGGUCUGAGAGGAUGAUCCGCCACACUGGGACUGAGACACGGCCCAGACUCCUACGGGAGGCAGCAGUGGGGAAUAUUGGACAAUGGGGGGAACCCUGAUCCAGCCAUGCCGCGUGUGUGAAGAAGGCCUUAUGGUUGUAAAGCACUUUAAGCGAGGAGGAGGCUCUUUUGGUUAAUACCCAAGAUGAGUGGACGUUACUCGCAGAAUAAGCACCGGCUAACUCUGUGCCAGCCGCCGCGGUAA